rnacentral:rRNA from 1 species
GACGAACGCUGGCGGCGUGCCUAAUACAUGCAAGUCGAGCGAAGUUUUUCUGGUGCUUGCACUAGAAAAACUUAGCGGCGAACGGGUGAGUAACACGUAAAGAACCUGCCUCAUAGACUGGGACAACUAUUGGAAACGAUAGCUAAUACCGGAUAACAGCAUUAACUGCAUGGUUGAUGUUUAAAAGUUGGUUUUGCUAACACUAUGAGAUGGCUUUGCGGUGCAUUAGCUAGUUGGUGGGGUAAAGGCCUACCAAGGCGGCGAUGCAUAGCCGACCUGAGAGGGUGAUCGGCCACACUGGGACUGAGACACGGCCCAGACUCCUACGGGAGGCAGCAGUAGGGAAUCUUCCGCAAUGGGCGAAAGCCUGACGGAGCAACGCCGCGUGAGUGAAGAAGGAUUUCGGUUCGUAAAGCUCUGUUGUUAGGGAAGAAUGAUUGUGUAGUAACUAUACACAGUAGAGACGGACCUAACCA